GGAAACAGAUGCUAAUACCGCAUAACAAUUUGAAUCGCAUGAUUCAAAUUUAAAAGAUGGCUUCGGCUAUCACUUUGGGAUGGACCUGCGGCGCAUUAGCUUGUUGGUAGGGUAACGGCCUACCAAGGCUGUGAUGCGUAGCCGAGUUGAGAGACUGAUCGGCCACAAUGGAACUGAGACACGGUCCAUACUCCUACGGGAGGCAGCAGUAGGGAAUCUUCCACAAUGGGCGCAAGCCUGAUGGAGCAACACCGCGUGAGUGAAGAAGGGUUUCGGCUCGUAAAGCUCUGUUGUUAGAGAAGAACGUGCGUGAGAGCAACUGUUCACGCAGUGACGGUAUCUAACCAGAAAGUCACGGCUAACUACGUGCCAGCAGCCGCGGUAAUACGUAGGUGGCAAGCGUUGUCCGGAUUUAUUGGGCGUAAAGCGAGCGCAGGCGGAAAAAUAAGUCUAAUGUGAAAGCCCUCGGCUUAACCGAGGAACUGCAUCGGAAACUGUUUUUCUUGAGUGCAGAAGAGGAGAGUGGAACUCCAUGUGUAGCGGUGGAAUGCGUAGAUAUAUGGAAGAACACCAGUGGCGAAGGCGGCUCUCUGGUCUGCAACUGACGCUGAGGCUCGAAAGCAUGGGUAGCGAACAGGAUUAGAUACCCUGGUAGUCCAUGCCGUAAACG
rnacentral:rRNA from 1 species